GAUGAACGCUGGCGGCGUGCCUAAUACAUGCAAGUCGAGCGAACAGACGAGGAGCUUGCUCCUCUGACGUUAGCGGCGGACGGGUGAGUAACACGUGGAUAACCUACCUAUAAGACUGGGAUAACUUCGGGAAACCGGAGCUAAUACCGGAUAAUAUAUUGAACCGCAUGGUUCAAUAGUGAAAGACGGUUUUGCUGUCACUUAUAGAUGGAUCCGCGCCGCAUUAGCUAGUUGGUAAGGUAACGGCUUACCAAGGCGACGAUGCGUAGCCGACCUGAGAGGGUGAUAGGCCACACGGGAACGGAGACACGGUCCAGACGACUACGGGAGGCAGCAGUAGGGAAUCUUCCGCAAUGGGCGAAAGCCUGACGGAGCAACGGCGCGUGAGUGAUGACGGUCUUCGGAUCGUAAAACUCUGUUAUUAGGGAAGAACAAAUGUGUAAGGAACUAUGCACGUCUUGACGGUACCUAAUCAGAAAGCCACGGCUAACUACGUG
rnacentral:rRNA from 1 species